UUAAGUUAAUAAGGGCGCACGGUGGAUGCCUUGGCACUAGAAGCCGAUGAAGGACGUGACUAACGACGAAAUGCUUUGGGGAGCUGUAAGUGAGCAAUGAUCCAGAGAUGUCCGAAUGGGGGAACCCGGCAGGUAAUGCCUGUCACUCAUUACUGUUAAGGUAAUGUAGAGGAAGACGCAGUGAACUGAAACAUCUAAGUAGCUGCAGGAAGAGAAAGCAAAAGCGAUUGCCUUAGUAGCGGCGAGCGAAACGGCAAGAGGGCAAACCGAAGAGUUUACUCUUCGGGGUUGUAGGACUGCAACGUGGACUUAAAGAUUAUAGAAGAACUACCUGGGAAGGUAGGCCAAAGAGAGUAAUAGCCUCGUAUUCGAAAUAGUCUUUAUACCUAGCAGUAUCCUGAGUACGGCGAGACACGAGAAAUCUCGUCGGAAUCUGGGAGGACCAUCUCCCAACCCUAAAUACUCUCUAGUGACCGAUAGUGAACCAGUACCGUGAGGGAAAGGUGAAAAGCACCCCGGGAGGGGAGUGAAAUAGAACCUGAAACCGUGUGCCUACAACAAGUUCGAGCCCGUUAAUGGGUGAGAGCGUGCCUUUUGUAGAAUGAACCGGCGAGUUACGAUAUGAUGCGAGGUUAAGUUGAAGAGACGGAGCCGUAGGGAAACCGAGUCUUAAUAGGGCGCAUUAGUAUCAUGUCGUAGACCCGAAACCAUGUGACCUACCCAUGAGCAGGUUGAAGGUGAGGUAAAACUCACUGGAGGACCGAACCAGGGCACGUUGAAAAGUGCUUGGAUGACUUGUGGGUAGCGGAGAAAUUCCAAACGAACUUGGAGAUAGCUGGUUCUCUCCGAAAUAGCUUUAGGGCUAGCGUCGAUGUUAAGUCUCUUGGAGGUAGAGCACUGUUUGGGUGAGGGGUCCAUCCCGGAUUACCAAUCUCAGAUAAACUCCGAAUGCCAACGAGAUAUAAUCGGCAGUCAGACUGCGAGUGCUAAGAUCCGUAGUCGAAAGGGAAACAGCCCAGACCACCAGCUAAGGUCCCAAAAUAUAUGUUAAGUGGAAAAGGAUGUGGGGUUGCACAGACAACUAGGAUGUUGGCUUAGAAGCAGCCACCAUUUAAAGAGUGCGUAAUAGCUCACUAGUCGAGUGACCCUGCGCCGAAAAUGUACCGGGGCUAAACAUAUUACCGAAGCUGUGGACUACACCAUUAGGUGUAGUGGUAGGAGAGCGUUCUAAGGGCGUUGAAGGUCGAUCGUGAGGACGGCUGGAGCGCUUAGAAGUGAGAAUGCCGGUAUGAGUAGCGAAAGACAGGUGAGAAUCCUGUCCACCGUAAGACUAAGGUUUCCAGGGGAAGGCUCGUCCGCCCUGGGUUAGUCGGGACCUAAGGAGAGACCGAAAGGUGUAUCCGAUGGACAACAGGUUGAUAUUCCUGUACUAGAGUAUAUAGUGAUGGAGGGACGCAGUAGGCUAACUAAACCAGACGAUUGGAAGUGUCUGGCCAAGCAGUGAGGUGUGAUAUGAGUCAAAUGCUUAUAUCUAUAACAUUGAGCUGUGAUGGGGAGCGAAGUUUAGUAGCGAAGUUAGUGAUGUCACACUGCCGAGAAAAGCUUCUAGCGUUAAUUAUACUCUACCCGUACCGCAAACCGACACAGGUAGUCGAGGCGAGUAGCCUCAGGUGAGCGAGAGAACUCUCGUUAAGGAACUCGGCAAAAUGGCCCCGUAACUUCGGGAGAAGGGGCGCUGACUUAUGGUCAGCCGCAGUGAAUAGGCCCAAGCAACUGUUUAUCAAAAACACAGCUCUCUGCUAAAUCGUAAGAUGAUGUAUAGGGGGUGACGCCUGCCCGGUGCUGGAAGGUUAAGAGGAGUGCUUAGCAAUAGCGAAGGUAUGAAUUGAAGCCCCAGUAAACGGCGGCCGUAACUAUAACGGUCCUAAGGUAGCGAAAUUCCUUGUCGGGUAAGUUCCGACCCGCACGAAAGGCGUAACGAUUUGGGCACUGUCUCAACGAGAGACUCGGUGAAAUUUUAGUACCUGUGAAGAUGCAGGUUACCCGCGACAGGACGGAAAGACCCCAUGGAGCUUUACUGCAGUUUGAUAUUGAGUAUCUGUACCACAUGUACAGGAUAGGUAGGAGCCUAAGACCUCGGGACGCCAGUUUCGAGUGAGGCGUUGUUGGGAUACUACCCUUGUGUUAUGGCUACUCUAACCCAGAUAGGUUAUCCCUAUCGGAGACAGUGUCUGACGGGCAGUUUGACUGGGGCGGUCGCCUCCUAAAAGGUAACGGAGGCGCCCAAAGGU
rnacentral:rRNA from 1 species